rnacentral:lncRNA from 13 species
AUGUGUGUGCGUGUGUGCCUGUGUAACGCUCUGUCGAGCAGGACAGAUCCCAAGCGUAGAUAUAUACCAUGCCUGUCUGACUGUCUCAUGAUGAUAACCACUGUACUGGAGUUUCCAGUCCUCUGUAUACUUCUCCUACAUGAUGCUACUGAAGCUCUCUUUACAAUAGGCACACUAUAUAUUAUAAGCACCCCAUGCAACGAUCAAGCUACCCCUUAGACACCUCAGUGAAAAAUGUCUGGUCCCUCCACUGUCUACAGUAGGUAGAUAACUGAAAUGUCUGGUCCCUCCACUGUCUACAGUAGGUAGAUAACUACCAUGUCUGGUACCUCCACUGUCUACAGUAGGUAGAUAACUACCAUGUCUGGUACCUCCACUGUCUACAGUAGGUAGAUAACUGAAAUGCCUGGUACCUCCACUGCCUGCAUUAAUAUCACCAAAACAGAUGACUAAAGGACCUGGAUUUAAACCUUUGUUCAACCAGUAGCUUUGAUCGGUUGGUUUCAUUUGACUGAAAACCCUGUGAGUAUAGCUGUGCCAUAGCAAUGUGUUUGGAAAGGUACACUAGAAUAUGUAGUGAUGCGUUUAAACUUUAAACUUCAACAGAUUGGCAUUGUCAAUCUAUCGAGAGUCUUUUCAUUCUUACUUGGGGAACUAUCUUACAUCCUAUCCUCCAUUGUUUGUAGUUGUGUGAGGUAUGUCCUAAGAAACUGACAAGUCUCCUAAAUUACUCAUCGUUGUGAGUUAUAUCACAUUGGCAGACAUUCGUUGGCUUGUCCAGCAGCCUGUGUGUGUGUCUGUGCGUGUGCGUGUGCAUUUGUGUGUGUGUUUGUGUGUUGUGUGUGUGUGUGUGUUUAUCUGUCCAGCAGUCAGACUUCACAAUGGGUAGUUUGUAUUGCUAUGUGGGAUGAAUAAAACCACAUGCUCAGUCACUCAAGAAUAAGACAGAUGAUCUUCGUUCGAGAGUCUCAUAUCAGAGAGACUUGAUUAGCUGCCAUAUUAUAUGCUUUAGAAAAAAACGUGGCUGUCUGAAUCUAUGGAUUUAGAACUCAGUGGUUUCUCCGUGCAGCGUCAUGAUUCGAACGACGGGGGCCUCGUGCAAGUCCGAAGGCAGAGUGGUGUGCUUCCUCAUAAACAACCACUCGCAGCUUUCAGUGUGAAGGAAAACUGAACCUUUUGCUCACCUGCAUACCUUUAUCUACCAAGAGAGUUCUCAUCCAUAAUCCACUGUCCACACCCCACCACAAGCCAACACUACUUUGGCACUCAACGCACUGUAUGGGACCAUAAACAAACAGGAUACCGCUUGUCAAGAGGCCGCCUUUGUAGUGGGAGGAGACUUUAACACAGGGAGACUUAAAACCAUUCUACCUCACUUCUGCCAACAUGUUCCUGCCAACAUGCUCCUGCCAACAU